CUGCAUUUAACCCGUCCUAAUUAUAGUUAGACACAAUCCAACUACUAGGAGCAGUGGGCAGCCACACUCCGGCGCCCGAGGACCAACUCCAGGUAUAGAGAUGCUGCCUUGGUCAGGGGCAGAGAAAGGAGCAUACCCUGAAAAAGA